rnacentral:rRNA from 1 species
UGAAGUAUUUCGGUACGGAAGUGCUCUCUAGUGGCGAACGGGUGAGUAACACGUGGGCAACCUGCCCCAGACUGGGGGAUAACAUUGUGAAAACAGUGCUAAUACCGCAUGACAGGGUUCCGGGCAUCCGGGACCCUUGAAAGGAGAAAUCCGGUCAGGGAUGGGCCCGCGUCCGAAUUAGCUAGUUGGCGGGGUAACGGCCCACCAAGGCGACGAUUGGUAGCCGAACUGAGAGGUUGAUCGGCCACAUUGGGACUGAGACACGGCCCAGACUCCUACGGGAGGCAGCAGUGGGGGAAUAUUGGGCAAUGGGCGAAAAACGCCUGACCCAGCGACGCCGCGUGAAGGAUGAAGGUCUUCGGAUUGUAAACUUCUUUGAUCAGGGAAGAAAGAAAUGACGGUACCUCGAAAAACAAGCCACGGCUAACUACGUGCCAGCCGCCGC